GAUGAGGAGUAUGAAUAGAAAGAAUUAGAAAAGCUACGGUGGUUGUUGAGCAGCGCCAAAAAAAACUCUGCUUUGCUCUGUUUCUGUGUUCGUCCGUACACUGUUCAUC
rnacentral:ncRNA from 3 species